CGCAAAGAUAAAAACGCAUCGCGCAUGCCCAUGCGCCAGAGCCGGUUGGUAGCCCGGCCGUCCGGAGCCUGUCUCCGGGUAAGUAACCUGCCCCUCCGGGUUGUCCGUUCUUUGCGGAA
rnacentral:ncRNA from 1 species